UCCGGUGUGGUGUAUCGGUAACAUCGGUCGCUCUCACCGACCAGCGCGGGGUUCGAUUCCCCGCACCGGAG